ACGAUGAAGAGUUUGAUCCUGGCUCAGGAUGAACGCUAGCGGCAGGCUUAACACAUGCAAGUCGAGGGGUAACAGGGAGCUUGCUCCGCUGACGACCGGCGCACGGGUGCGUAACGCGUAUGCAAUCUACCUUUUACAGGGGAAUAGCCCAGAGAAAUUUGGAUUAAUGCCUCAUAGUAUAUAGUUGUGGCAUCACAAUUAUAUUAAAGAUUUAUCGGUAAAAGAUGAGCAUGCGUUCUAUUAGUUAGUUGGUAAGGUAACGGCUUACCAAGACUACGAUAGAUAGGGGCCCUGAGAGGGGGAUCCCCCACACUGGUACUGAGACACGGACCAGACUCCUACGGGAGGCAGCAGUGAGGAAUAUUGGACAAUGGGCGAGAGCCUGAUCCAGCCAUGCCGCGUGCAGGAAGACUGCCCUAUGGGUUGUAAACUGCUUUUAUACAGGAAGAAACACUGCUACGUGUAGCAGCUUGACGGUACUGUAAGAAUAAGGAUCGGCUAACUCCGUGCCAGCAGCCGCGGUAAUACGGAGGAUCCAAGCGUUAUCCGGAAUCAUUGGGUUUAAAGGGUCCGUAGGUGGACAAUUAAGUCAGAGGUGAAAUCUUGCAGCUCAACUGUAAAAUUGCCUUUGAUACUGGUUGUCUUGAGUUAUUAUGAAGUAGUUAGAAUAUGUAGUGUAGCGGUGAAAUGCAUAGAUAUUACAUAGAAUACCAAUUGCGAAGGCAGAUUACUAAUAAUCAACUGACACUGAUGGACGAAAGCGUGGGUAGCGAACAGGAUUAGAUACCC
rnacentral:rRNA from 1 species